AUGCAGUCAAUUUUUUUCCAAAGUCCGAACAGAUGGCAAACUAAAUUAAUGCCACAACAUUACCGGAAUUCAACUACAGUCUACAGAGGAACAAGCGUGGAGCAGAGCUCACCGAACACACUAGAAAAUCCUCAAAUCAAAUCGCCACAAUACACAAAUGCACUUCAGAACAGAGGCCCUCCAAGAGGCCUGGUGUGGUGCAGGUGUACCGGCAGUGACCUUCAAGGCUGCUGUUCCUGCAUCUUCCAGGCUUCCAAGCUGCUAUUCUUGCAUCUUACCCUGCUCAGCGGUGACCGGUGGCACAACCCAGUGAACUCGCGGCCGUAG
rnacentral:rRNA from 1 species